UCUCCGUUGGUGAACCAGCGGAGGGAUCAUUACCGAGUUUACAACUCCCAUACCCCUGUGAACAUACCUCUUUUGUUGCUUCAGCGGUGCCCUCGCUCUCGCGGCUUGGCGAGCCAGAGGACCCAAACAAACUCUUUGACUUUGAUCUAGGCUUAUACUUCUGAUUGAAACAAAAAAUAAAAUCAAAACUUUCAACAACGGAUCUCUUGGCUCUG
rnacentral:misc_RNA from 1 species